CAGCAGCACCAGCUUCACCCUGUAAUGGGACCAAAGAUGAGUUUGCUAAUGGGCCUCACAGAGAUGCUCCAGGAAGCAGGAAGGAUUCUAAUUAUCAAGACUGCUAGAAGCCACUUUUGGAAGAGAGAAUUUCUGUAAUAAAGGCUAUGAAAAUGUGUACAUCAAGGCUCUAUUUUGGAAACUUUCUCAAUCAAAUGGAGUGAAAUAUGAAAAAUAAAUAAAAGUCGAAGUGCAAACAAACAUAAAAACAAAAUUCUACUCACACGAGCACCAUCCCGGCCAGUGUUUCCGGGUUCACCUCUGUGACCAGUUUCACCCUGAAAGUAUAAAGCAAGAACAAGUUUUCAUUUUCU